rnacentral:rRNA from 1 species
GAUGAACGCUGGCGGCGUGCCUAAUACAUGCAAGUCGAGCGAACGGACGAGAAGCUUGCUUCUCUGAUGCUAGCGGCGGACGGGUGAGUAACACGUGGAUAACCUACCUAUAAGACUGGGAUAACUUCGGGAAACCGGAGCUAAUACCGGAUAAUAUUUUGAACCGCAUGGUUCAAAAGUGAAAGACGGUCUUGCUGUCACUUAUAGAUGGAUCCGCGCUGCAUUAGCUAGUUGGUAAGGUAACGGCUUACCAAGGCAACGAUGCAUAGCCGACCUGAGAGGGUGAUCGGCCACACUGGAACUGAGACACGGUCCAGACUCCUACGGGAGGCAGCAGUAGGGAAUCUUCCGCAAUGGGCGAAAGCCUGACGGAGCAACGCCGCGUGAGUGAUGAAGGUCUUCGGAUCGUAAAACUCUGUUAUUAGGGAAGAACAUAUGUGUAAGUAACUGUGCACAUCUUGGCGGUACCUAAUCAGAAAGCCACGGCUAACUACGUG